GCCAGCGUGGCGCAGUGGUUUGAGCAUUGGACUAGGACUCUGGAGACCAGGGUUCAAAUCCUGGCUCGCCCA
rnacentral:tRNA from 1 species